AACUCAGUUCCACACCCCGUGGAACUCAGCUCUGGGGACACGGACCGGAGACACAGCCUGGGUGCUCUGUGCCACAUCUUGCCUCGGCCCCAACAAUAUUCGGCUCGAGAGAGGGUCGCCCUCCUGCCUGCCGGGGUUUGCCCGUGGAGGGGGGGGACCGCAAAGCCUGUGGGCUGCCACAGCUCCUCACCCUUCCACACCACCCGAGAGUUCGAAUGGAGGGGACAUCCUGGGGUUACUUCAGCUUUUUAGGGGGAAGAAGGGAUAGAUAAUUGAGCUGUUUGUUACUUAUAUAGACAUUGGGAGGUGGAACGAACUUUGGGGUCAGCAUCAGCUCAAGCUAAGUGGCACUAACUAGUAGUAUUGCUUGCUGGUACCCCAGUGCCUUGUUGCAGUUUUCAUUGGUGGUGCCCAAAUGGCAGCUGGGGAAACAGAGGUGAGGCAGGUCUAUGGCCAGCAUCCCCCAGAGAGGGGCUGGCAGAGCUCGGGUGGAAGGUAAGUGCCUGGCACUUUGAGACUGCCUGGCAUCGCUGUCCCAUCCCCUUAGGGAGGGGAGUGGCAGCGGGCAGAGGUGUGGGCAGGGGGAGAGGGACCUGCAGAGCUGGGGAAUCGUGCCUGUGCUGCAGGGCUGGGGAAUGCCAGGGAGCCACGAGUGCCACCCGCACCCCUGUGGGUGACUCCUGGGGAGACCUGUGGUGCCGUAUCCGGAAAGGUUUUGCUGAAGGAUUUUUGCAGCUGUCCCACAUACACAUCUCUUGUGCACCAGGAGCCUCUGAACCUUGUGUGGAAGUCCACGGGACGGUGAAGUCACCGUGGAAUUUUGCGCCGUUGACUUCAGUGCGGGCAGGAUUUCACUCUUACAUUCUGACUCAGAUCCAUUUGAGAAUGACUUUGUUUACAUCUGACAAUAACUACUGAUCAGUACUUAGUGAUUACAGGAUAGGUCAGGUGCUGUAAGGACACAAAGUUGGCACUGAGUCUGUACAAUGUUUGUCAGGUGAAACCUUUUCAUUUGAGAUACAAAAUAAACCUCUGAAAUUAAAAAA